rnacentral:rRNA from 1 species
GACGAACGCUGGCGGCAGGCCUAACACAUGCAAGUCGAGCGAAAGUUGCGCCUUCGGGUUAGUGGCGGACGGGUGAGUAACGCGUGAGAAUCUGCCCUCAGGAGGGGGACAACAGCUGGAAACGGCUGCUAAUACCCCAUAUGCCGCGAGGUGAAAUGAAUUUCGCCUGAGGAUGAGCUCGCGUCUGAUUAGCUAGUUGGUGUAGGUAAUGGCUCACCAAGGCAUCGAUCAGUAGCUGGUCUGAGAGGAUGAUCAGCCACACUGGGACUGAGACACGGCCCAGACUCCUACGGGAGGCAGCAGUGGGGAAUUUUCCGCAAUGGGCGAAAGCCUGACGGAGCAACGCCGCGUGAGGGAUGAAGGCCUCUGGGCUGUAAACCUCUUUUAUCAAGGAAGAAGAUCUGACGGUACUUGAUGAAUAAGCCACGGCUAAUUCCGUGCCAGCAGCCGCAGUAACAC